rnacentral:rRNA from 1 species
AGCAGCCGCGGUAAUUCCAGCUCCAAUAGCGUAUAUUAAAGUUGUUGCAGUUAAAAAGCUCGUAGUUGAAUUUCGGGAUUGACGUGAUGGUCGUGCCUUAAGGGGUAUGAACUGUCGCAGUUGAUUUCUCACCUUCUGGAGAAGCUUGAUGUCCUUAAUUGGGUGUCAUGUGGAACCAGGACCUUUACCUUGAAAAAAUUAGAGUGUUUAAAGCAGGCAUUUUGCUCGAAUACAUUAGCAUGGAAUAAUAGAAUAGGACGGCAUGGUUCUAUUUUGUUGGUUUCUAGGAUCACCGUAAUGAUUAAUAGGGAUAGUUGGGGGCAUUAGUAUUCAAUUGUCAGAGGUGAAAUUCUUGGAUUUAUUGAAGACUAACUACUGCGAAAGCAUUUGCCAAGGAUGUUUUCAUUAAUCAAGAACGAAAGUUAGGGGAUCGAAGACGAUCAGAUACCGUCGUAGUCUUAACCAUAAACUAUGCCGACUAGGAAUCAGACGAUGUUAAUUUUUAAUGACUCGUUUG